CCUGCCUUUAAGACGUGGAUAACAAUUGGAAACAGUUGCUAAGACUGGAUAGGAAAUUAAGAGGCAUCUUUUAAUUUUUAAAAGACCUUUUUCGAAAGGUAUGCUUAAAGAGGGGCUUGCGCCACAUUAGUUAGUUGGUAAGGUAAAGGCUUACCAAGACGAUGAUGUGUAGCUGGACUGAGAGGUCGAACAGCCACAUUGGGACUGAGACACGGCCCAAACUCCUACGGGAGGCAGCAGUAAGGAAUUUUUGGCAAUGGAGGAAACUCUGACCGAGCGACGCCGCGUGAACAAUGAAGUACUUCGGUAUGUAAAGUUCUUUUAUUGAAAAAGAAAAAAUGGUGGAAAAACUAUCUUGACAUUAUUCAAUGAAUAAGCCCCGGCUAAUUAUGUGCCAGCAGCCGCGGUAAUACAUAAGGGGCGAGCGUUAUCCGGAAUUAUUGGGCGCAAAGGGUGCGUAGGCGGUUUGAUAAGUCUAUAGUUUAAAUGCAGUGCUUAACGCUGUAGCGCUAUAGAAACUGUCUGACUAGAGUUAGAUAGAGGCAAGCGGAAUUCCAUGUGUAGCGGUAAAAUGCGUAAAUAUAUGGAGGAACACCAGAGGCGUAGGCGGCUUGCUGGGUCUUAACUGACGCUGAGGCACGAAAGCGUGGGGAGCAAACAGGAUUAGAUACCCUGGUAGUCCACGCCGUAAACGAUGAGUACUAAGUGUCGGGUUUCGGCUCGGUACUGAAGUUAACACAUUAAGUACUCCGCCUGAGUAGUACGUACGCAAGUAUGAAACUUAAAGGAAUUGACGGGACCCCGCACAAGCGGUGGAUCAUGUUGUUUAAUUCGAAGAUACACGAAAAACCUUACCAGGUCUUGACAUAAUUUUGCGACAUUAUAGAAAUAUAAUGAAGGUUAUCAGAAUUACAGGUGGUGCAUGGUUGUCGUCAGCUCGUGUCGUGAGAUGUUAGGUUAAGUCCUAAAACGAGCGCAACCCUUGUCGUUAGUUGCGACCACGUAAUGGUGAGCACUUUAGCGAGACUGCCAAUGAAAAAUUGGAGGAAGGUGAGGAUUACGUCAAACCAUCAUGCCCCUUACGAUCUGGGCUACAAACGUGAUACAAUGGCUGUUACAAAGAGUAGCUACAACGUGAGUUUUUAGCCAAUCUCAAAAAAACAGUCUCAGUUCGGAUUGAAGUCUGCAACUCGACUUCAUGAAGUUGGAAUCGCUAGUAAUCGCGAAUCAGCAUGUCGCGGUGAAUACGUUCUCGGGGUUUGUACACACCGCCCGUCAAACCACGAAAGUUGAUAAUACCCGAAAGCGGUCGCCUAACUUCGUCAGAAGAGGGAGCCGCCUAAGGUAG
rnacentral:rRNA from 1 species